UAAACUAACUUAGAGUUAACAUUGGUCUUGUUUUAGUUAGCCAGCUGUGUCUAGGUGUUGCAGCUUCUGUGAUGAAAAUGCAUCCAUUUUGUGAAGUCUCCAUGAUAAAAGGGAUGCGAACCUCAAAAUAGACAGGCUGGUAAACCUCAGCAUAGGCUGGAGGGGAAUAUCAACCUUAAAAAUGAGGAUAAAAUUGAUUCAGGCAUCAACAACACCAAAUGGACAAGGAAAUUAACACUGAACUAGGACGGGGUCCUGGCUAAAGGGAUUCCAGCCAGCAAGACUGCUAGAACAUGUGGAGAAUUGGUGAAGCUCACAGCACCCGGAACCUUAAAGAGAAGGAGAUUUGGACCCCGCCCCUAUCAGUGCCGGGAAAGGCUGGAGCAGGU